GAGCAGUGAGGAAUAUUGGUCAAUAGCCUAACGGCUGAACCAGCAACUUGGAGGAACAUACGGCAAUAGCUGAUUGCAUUAACAAUUUGUUUUUACAAUAUCGACUAUGUCGAAUAAAGUUCUAGGUAGAGUUAUGAUAAUGACAUUUUCUAUCUAUGUGUCUUGACCAAGUCACGUGCCAGCAGUCGCGGUAAUACGUGGAAGACUAGUGUUAUUCAUCUUUAAUGGGUUUAAAGGGUACCUAGACGGUCUAUUAAGCCUUAAAGGGUACUUACAGACUAGAGUUUGAUGAGAGGGGGGAAGUACGAGAGAGUGUAGAGAUGAAAUUCUGUCAUACCUUACUUGGAACAGGCAACGGCGAAAGCAACUCCUUAUGUAAAAACUGACGUUGAAGGACGAAGGA
rnacentral:rRNA from 1 species